rnacentral:rRNA from 1 species
AUUGAACGCUGGCGGCAGGCCUAACACAUGCAAGUCGAACGGUAACAGGAAGCAGCUUGCUGCUUUGCUGACGAGUGGCGGACGGGUGAGUAAUGUCUGGGAAACUGCCUGAUGGAGGGGGAUAACUACUGGAAACGGUAGCUAAUACCGCAUAACGUCGCAAGACCAAAGAGGGGGACCUUAGGGCCUCUUGCCAUCGGAUGUGCCCAGAUGGGAUUAGCUAGUAGGUGGGGUAACGGCUCACCUAGGCGACGAUCCCUAGCUGGUCUGAGAGGAUGACCAGCCAAACUGGAACUGAGACACGGUCCAGACUCCUACGGGAGGCAGCAGUGGGGAAUAUUGCACAAUGGGCGCAAGCCUGAUGCAGCCAUGCCGCGUGUAUGAAGAAGGCCUUCGGGUUGUAAAGUACUUUCAGCGGGGAGGAAGGGAGUAAAGUUAAUACCUUUGCUCAUUGACGUUACCCGCAGAAGAAGCACCGGCUAACUCCGUG